AGGGAUCUCGUCAUCUGCUCACAGGUGAUAUGGGACCGGGUUCUUGGACUGCCACUAGAGCGGCCAAAGAGUGUAAACAUGUCCUCCCAAAGGUGAAACUUUGCAACUUCGUGGAACUCUUAAGCUCCUCUACAUCUCUCAGAGUGAGUCUGUCCCAGCUCUUGAAAAAUAUUGUCCUUAGGAGUUCCAGCCCAACAAAUUUGAGGGAAAGAAACAGAGAGAGAUCGUUCUAGUGGCGACAAGAGAGCAACAUGAUGAUGGUUCGAACUUACUACUCAACCGAUCCAUGAAUUGUAUGGAGAAUUAGGGUUCCUAGAGCUUCGAACCUCAAUGCCAUGGGUUCCUUAUUCCAGAUAAAGUAUCUAUCUAUGGGUCAAAUAUUAGUCGGUCAGGGUUCCGAGCCAGCCAAGCAAUAACCCCUGUCUUGAAGGAGAUUUCUGCCACGAUCCAAGGUUGGUUUGUUUGUUUGAUCUCUUGUCCUUCUUUGUUUAAUUUUACUUUACUUAGAGAACUCUUCACUUUCAUCAU